UACGAAGGUCCCAAGCGUUAUCCGGAUUUAUUGGGUUUAAAGGGUGCGUAGGCGGGUUAUUAAGUCAGUGGUGAAAGCCUUCAGCUUAACUGAAGAAUUGCCAUUGAUACUGAUGAUCUUGAGUAUGAUUGAGGUGGGCGGAAUGUGUCAUGUAGCGGUGAAACGCUUAGAUAUGACACAGAACACCGAUUGCGAAGGCAGCUCACUAAGCCAUAACUGACGCUGAUGCACGAAAGCGUGGGGAGCAAACAGG
rnacentral:rRNA from 1 species